rfam:Ictidomys tridecemlineatus contig062915, whole genome shotgun sequence.
UGGGAUAUAGCUCAGUUGGUAGAGUGCUUGCCUUGUAUGCAGAGGCCCUGGGUUCAAUCCCCAGCACCAA